rnacentral:rRNA from 1 species
GACGAACGCUGGCGGCGUGCCUAAUACAUGCAAGUCGAACGCUUCUUUCCUCCCGAGUGCUUGCACUCAGUUGGAAAGAGGAGUGGCGGACGGGUGAGUAACACGUGGGUAACCUACCCAUCAGAGGGGGAUAACACUUGGAAACAGGUGCUAAUACCGCAUAACAGUUUAUGCCGCAUGGCAUAAGAGUGAAAGGCGCUUUCGGGUGUCGCUGAUGGAUGGACCCGCGGUGCAUUAGCUAGUUGGUGAGGUAACGGCUCACCAAGGCCACGAUGCCCGGACGACCUGGGAGGGUGAUCGGCCACGUGGGGACUGGGCCACGGCCCAGACUCCUACGGGAGGCAGCAGUAGGGAAUCUUCGGCAAUGGACGGAAGUCUGACUGAGCAACGCCGCGUGAGUGAAGAAGGUUUUCGGAUCGUAAAACUCUGUUGUUAGAGAAGAACAAGGACGUUAGUAACUGAACGUCCCCUGACGGUAUCUAACCAGAAAGCCAAGGCUAACUACGUGCCAGCCGCCGCCGUAA